AUUGAACGCUGGCGGCAUGCCUUACACAUGCAAGUCGAGCGGCAGCGCGGGGGCAACCCUGGCGGCGAGCGGCGAACGGGUGAGUAAUACAUCGGAACGUGUCCAGUUGUGGGGGAUAACCAGUCGAAAGACUGGCUAAUACCGCAUACGAUCUACGGAUGAAAGCGGGGGAUCGCAAGACCUCGCGCUAUUGGAGCGGCCGAUGUCCGAUUAGCUAGUUGGCGGGGUAAAAGCCCACCAAGGCGACGAUCGGUAGCUGGUCUGAGAGGAUGAUCAGCCACACUGGAACUGAGACACGGUCCAGACUCCUACGGGAGGCAGCAGUGGGGAAUUUUGGACAAUGGGGGCAACCCUGAUCCAGCCAUGCCGCGUGAGCGAAGAAGGCCUUCGGGUUGUAAAGCUCUUUCGGCGGGGACGAAACGGUUCGCGCUAACACCGCGGACUAAUGACGGUACUCGCAGAAGAAGCACCGGCUAACUACGUGCCAGCAGCCGCCGUAAUAC
rnacentral:rRNA from 1 species